CCUUGGCCCGGAUGGAAGCGGCAUCCUUUUUCGCGCUUCUUUAGCGCGGAAAAGAUACAGCGGACAGCCGGAUUAGCC
rnacentral:sRNA from 1 species